rnacentral:rRNA from 1 species
GCCUUCUGUUCAUAGGAAGAACGGCAUCUGAAACUGCAGAUCUUGGGUGUAGGAGGGGAGAGUGGAACUUCUGGUGGAGCGGUGAAAUGCGUAGAUAUCAGAAGGAACGUCGGCGGCGAAAGCGACUCUCUGGCCUAUUACUGACACUGAGUGUGCGAAAGUUAGGGGAGCAAACGGGAUUAGAUACCCCGGUAGUCCUAACUGUAAACGAU